GAUGAACGCUGGCGGCGUGCCUAAUACAUGCAAGUCGAGCGAACAGAUGAGGAGCUUGCUCCCCUGACGUUAGCGGCGGACGGGUGAGUAACACGUGGAUAACCUACCUAUAAGACUGGGAUAACUUCGGGAAACCGGAGCUAAUACCGGAUAAUAUAUUGAACUGCAUGGUUCAAUAGUGAAAGACGGUUUUGCUGUCACUUAUAGAUGGAUCCGCGCCGCAUUAGCUAGUUGGUAAGGUAACGGCUUACCAAGGCGACGAUGCGUAGCCGACCUGAGAGGGUGAUCGGCCACACUGGAACUGAGACACGGUCCAGACUCCUACGGGAGGCAGCAGUAGGGAAUCUUCCGCAAUGGGCGAAAGCCUGACGGAGCAACGCCGCGUGAGUGAUGAAGGUCUUCGGAUCGUAAAACUCUGUUAUUAGGGAAGAACAAAUGUGUAAGUAACUAUGCACGUCUUGACGGUACCUAAUCAGAAAGCCACGGCUAACUACGUG
rnacentral:rRNA from 1 species